rnacentral:rRNA from 1 species
UACAGAGGUCUCAAGCGUUGUUCGGAUUCAUUGGGCGUAAAGGGUGCGUAGGCGGCGCGGUAAGUCGGGUGUGAAAUCUUGGAGCUUAACUCCGAAACUGCAUUCGAUACUGCCGUGCUUGAGGACUGGAGAGGAGACUGGAAUUUACGGUGUAGCGGUGAAAUGCGUAGAUAUCGUAAGGAAGACCAAUGGCGAAGGCGGGUCUCUGGACAGUUCCUGACGCUGAGGCACGAAGGUCAGGGGAGCAAACGGG